CGGGACUCCUGGGGGCUCGGCCCUGGGACACCCGUGGCCCCCUCUCCCACGCGGCCCCAAACUGGACCCGGGAUCCAGCCGCAGCCGCGGCUGCAGCAGGCGCGCCCCCUGCCGCCGCGCAGCCGCCCGUAUUUAAAGGGGACGCAGCCUGCCUGACUGCCAGGAGCCAAGCGCGAGUCGGCCCAGCCAAAGCGCAUGCGCGAGGCGCGCGCCGCUUUUUGCUUCACAGUGCUUCCCACGGUUGUCUUAGGAACCAGUCCCCGAGGCUUGGCAACGCGGGAGCCCUCCGUGGCGGCGCCUGGGUGUCGGGCCUCCGAGGCUCCGGCCUGACCUCUCCACGGGGUCCACAGGAACGUCUCCGGCUGCCAGGAGUCACAAGGGGCCGAGCAGGAUGAGGAAACCACAGGCGGAGUCCGGGGGAAGCAGCGUGGCAUCCCAGCCUCAGGCCUGCCAGGACGGUGUUCGGGUGAGUCUCCCGAGAAGUCGUGCCCCCGUGAUCUCGAGGACAGGUCCGCCUGCGUGCCCGAGGGCUGUUCUCUCAGCCGAGGGUUGUUCCCCUCCAGAGCAGAACCCGGCAGCCGCAGGGGUUGCCUGGGGGCGUGCAUUGCUCGGCCACCGCGGUAGGACUGUGUGUGGGGCUGUGUCUCCCAUUCUCCCUUCUCUCUCUGUCUCUCACCCUCUGUGUGCUUCUUUCCCUCUGUGUGUGUGUGUGUGUGUGUGUGUCUUUGGACGAAUGUGCCCUGUGCGUCAAAAAGGGAUGUCUUUUAUGUGGACCGGUCUUUGGUGAGCCUCUUUCUGCGUCUCUCCCUGGGUCCUGCGGCCAGCUGUCCAUCGUCUUCGCGGCGGUUCCACUUUGGGUCUGUGCAGGCCUCGAUAACGUGAGGGGAUGCAUCGGGCCCGGAGCAGUGGAAGUCUCAUCCCCAUCCUGAGCGGCCUCUUUUCUAGGA
rnacentral:lncRNA from 1 species